rnacentral:sRNA from 1 species
UUACUAUCAUUGCUCUUUCUAUACUUGUGGUGUGAGAAUUCCAUUAAAAUUGAAUCUUACUGAUUUUUAAUUUGCUGACUUAAUCUUGAAACUUAAAUUUACCAGCAUCUGACAGACCAUCUCAAUGGUUUAGAGUCUGGAUCAUCAUAUUAGACCACCUGUGAUAGUUGGUGUGAGGUGUGUGGUUUUUAUAUUUUUAUUAGUAAAUUACUUUGUAUAACGAAAUAACAUUAUAAAGUUCUCAUAAGGAAAUAGAACUUAGAUUCCUGUAGUUGUCAUAUUUGUACAUGUGUAAGGCAGCUUUCUCUCCCAGGCUCAUCAGUGGCAUCUUCUGAUUGCAGGUCGGUUAGACCCCGUUUAACCAUCUAUGUCUGCCGGGAGCAGCCAAGCAGCACAGUGCUGCAAGGGCAGCAGCAAGCUGCAAGCAGUGCAAGCGAGAAUGGCAGUGGGGCACCCUAUGUUUAUCAUGCAAUCUACUUGGAAGAAAUGAUUGCCUCAGAAGUUGCUCGAAAACUUGCGCUGGUGUUUAAUAUCCCUCUCCACCAAAUUAAUCAGGUUUACAGACAGGGUCCCACUGGUAUUCACAUUCUUGUUAGUGAUCAGAUGGUUCAGAAUUUUCAAGAUGAGAGUUGUUUUUUAUUCUCCACAGUAAAAGCUGAAAAUAGUGAUGGCAUCCACAUAAUUUUGAAGUGAUGUCUUAUAUAGACUGAACUGUAUUCAGUACCAAAUAGUCACGCUUAAAAGUGUGUGAAGACUGAAUCCAAGAAGUCUUGGGAUUGGAUUUUACCAUAUGAAAUGUUUCAUAUUGAAAACACAAGAUGACCUUUCUAAUGAGCUGUAUGAGAGGUGAAUCUCCUCACUGUCACUGCCAUAGCCAAGCAUCCUCAUGAGAGUGAGCACAUCGGCACAGCAUGCAUCCAGCUCUGG